UGUGGCUAUUCACACUGAGUUGUAAAGAAACCAGCAAUGGUAUUUCCCUAUUACAUAAAUAUUCAUCUCAUUGAGCAGUGGGAUAUCAUUAUGUGAAAUAUAAUCAAUUCUAACACCAAAUUAGCAAUCAAUAAGAAUCUUACCUAGUCAAAUUAUAGUAUUAUUUCAACAUUGUAUGAAAGUAGCUAGAAACAUGAACCGCACUUUGUUUUUUUAAAGCUAUUAUGAAAUGCUCAAUAAAGACUUAAAGUUUACUGGCAAAACUUGGGUCUUUUUUGGAGGAUUUUUUGUUACCCUAACUACUGAUAUGUUUUCUGGAUCCUCCAGAAUGGACAUAUGGGAUAGGAACUGAGGAUAACUGUGUCAUAUUUUAAACAAUAUUAAAAACACAACAAGCCAACACAAACUAAAAAUAACCUGAAUACUUAUCUCUGUUUUAUUACAUUUUCAAAGCUUGUUAAAUUUCAAGAGGACACUACAUCUAUACAUUAAGAGCUUUGCAUCUACAGUUCAUUAACACUCCUGCUCCAAGUAAAGAGGGGAUUUGGACUAGGUUGUGAGACUAUUAAUUGCACAAAUAUGUUGUAGUCAGAGCAGUGACUGGUUGCCUGCAGCAGCCAUUUCUAGUUGUCUUUGAGUAUGCGUCUUUUUUUUAAAAAAGUCAUCUCCUCUUCAAAGUCAUAUCUCACAUAUAUAUGAUUAUACUUGAUUGUGUGUACUGAAGCACAUUGCUAUUGAGUCAGAAAUUUUCAAGUAUCUUGAUUCAAAUGACUGUCAAAUACCUAAGAACAGAGUUGCUUUUAAUUAGCAUGCAGAAAAGAGAGAUGAUAUUUGACCUGUGAGUCUUAAUCAAGGGGAAUAUUUUUAAGUUCUCCCAUAAACGAUGUAGCAGAUUGCUUGCAAGUGCCUUGAAAAACAUAGUCCUACUUCUCCUCCUACUAUCAUUACUAUUGUUCUAACAAUUUCUAAAGGAUCAGAACAGAGUUCUAGAAACCCUGUAAUGCUGUUAUUGCCCGGAAUCCUGGGUUAUUAAACAUUCUUAUCCGCAGAAGCAAAGGACCAUCCAAUCCUAUUCAUAUGCAUCCUAUGACUCAACUCAGUUUCCACUUGGCGGGCUGUGUGUGUGUGUGUGUGUGUGUGUGUGUGUGUGUGAGAGAGAGAGAGAGAGAGAGAGACAGUGAGAGAGAGAGAGAGUGAGAGAGAGAGAGAGAGUUCAUCCUGAAAGCGCUUAUGUUUCCAGAGGUUUUCAAAUGCAAAUGGAGUGGGAGUGGUGGUGGCCGUGAUGGAGCGUACUGUGUGGGUGUAGGGGGAUUUGGGGAGAGGGUGUCGUGGGCAGUAAGUUUAAACAAAUUCAAGGCCAUUACUACCACUGCAGACCAAAAUAACUUAGGUCUGAGAGACCCCCUUAGAAAGAUACAAUGCCUUCCUCAUCUAAAGGGAGCUAAUACCAGAGUGAUCUCGGCGCUCGCGCAGUUUUGAGAGAGGGUCCCGAAAACCGCCGGAGGCCAGGUGUCGCGGACGGGCCCCGGGCUAAACUCUCGUCUGGCGAAGUGAAGAGCGCAAAGUCUCCAGGCCCAGCGCGCCUUCGCGGGGCAGGCCGGACACCCUAGCCCCGGGCCGGGCUCGCUCUUCUCUGAAGCCCUGGAGCGGGCAAGGGGCACCAUUCUGGCCACAGGAACUCUAGUUUCAGCAGCCGCAGCCCGCCAGCGCUGGCUCGGACCGGGGCCUCCUCUGGGAGAGUAGGAGAGCGAAAAAAUCAACCACCACCUUGGAUUUCAGAUCGAGGAAAGGAAGCCAAAGCAAAGGUGUGGUUACACAGGACAUCCAUAGACAAAUCGUUGCCUCUCUAAGUGGGCCUGAGCUUUGCGGCUCCAGAAGCGCGAGGCGCGGUUGGUGCGGACGCGGGGGCGUGGGAGUCAUCGCUCUCCCCGCAGCCCUGGCCGAGCUCUCUGCUGUCCUCCCGAGUUUGGGCCAGAGACCACGGCUCACUCCCUAACGCCCUCGCAAGGACGGCUGCCCGUCGGGCCAAGGGCGCCCCGGGCUGGAGGCCGGAGCAAGACGGCCCCGCGGGACUCGGGAGCCUUGGUAAGGCGGAGGCUCAGACCCCGUUCACGAAAACGCCUGGCUCCUCCAGGAUUUGUCAGGUCUUAAGCAGCUCCGAGAAGGCUCCGCUGGCUCUUGGGGAACCCCGCUGUGCGGCUCACCCCCGUUUGUCUCUCUCAAGCUCUCGCCCUCCUCCCCUGGUCCUCCCUUCUCCAGAUCCCCUGCCCUGCCCGAGGUCCGGGCCGCGCGGGCUGAGCCCAAUACGCCCGGAGAAGAGCGCCGGAGCCCCCUGCUGGCCGGACGCGGCAGGCGCGGCGGCCCGCUCGGUCCCCUCCGCCCCGCGGGCUCUGCCCAGCCCGGACCCGCCUCCACCCUCCAGUGCCCUGGCGCUGGGGGCGUGCUAAAAGCAACAGAAAACAAAACAAAAACAAACAAAGCGCCAAACCCCACUCUCACCUCUUCUACUGGUCAAAGAAAUUUGAGGAACUUAUAAUGAAACCAAGUAAUGAAUCACUAAAUAAUGAAAUCGCCAAAUAAUGAAAUCACCAACUGGAAAUUAGAAGUAAAUGGUCAUAGCAAACCCUAACCAGCACUUGUCCCAACUACCUGCUUCUGGCUUUGUUUUGCCUAAAGCUGUGAAAAAUAUUAUUCAAACACAAGAUGGCAAACUGAAGAAUGAAAAAUCAACAUGUAUCAAAUGAUGAAGGGGAAAGAUGGAAGAAGCCUGGGUUCUUGAUGGCAUCAUUGAACCCUCCAUGCAAGGCCAGCAACCAAGCUGUCAUUAACUAAAGCUAGAUGCAUUAUUAUGUUCAAGGAAUGAACCCUUAUCUGAUUAAAUUACUGCCAUCUAGGUUUUCUGUUACCUGCAGAUGAGCCAUCCUGAUGCUCAAUAUCAUAGAAUUAUUCUGAAAGUUAAAUGAAAUAAUGCAUGCAUAAUUGCUUAAAUAACUACAGAUAUACUGUUUAAAGAGGUAACACAGGGCAAUGGAAAAGGCAUUGGACUUGAACUCUGACUAAUUUAGCCUGGAAUCCUAGAAAGUCACCUUAUUAGACCUUCUUCAUAGGAAAAUGUAAACAAUCUCUGUGUGUCAGUUGUGUCAUCUCUAAAAUGGAAAUAAUUAGCAUCUUGGAGGAUUGUUGUAAAGGGUAAGGGAGAUAAGAUAUGGGAAAGCUCAUGGCAUAGGGCUUGAUACAUGUUAUUCAAUAAACAUAAGUUAGGGAGAAAAAUUAGCAAGUAGCAGUGUGGUCUGCCCCAAGUGAACACACUUCCUUUAUCUGAGUCAGAUUACACUGCCCCUUGAACCUUUACAACACUAAACAAAAUUUAGAGCACUAGGAGAUACUUCAGAGUGUCCUAUUAAUAAAAGUAGUGGAAGGAUAGUUUUUUUUUUUCUAAUUCUGUGAAGAACAUUAAUGGUAGUUUAAUGGGACUGGCAUUGAAUCUAUAGAUUACUUUGAAAAGUAUGGCCAUUUUCACAAUAUUGAUUCUUCCUAUCCAUGAGCAUGGAAUGUUUUUCCUUUUGUUUGUGUCCUCUCUGAUUUCUUUGAGGAUCAGUUUGUAGUUCUCUUUGAAGAGGUUCCUCACUUUCCUUCUCAGCUGUAUUCCUAGGUAUCUUUUUUUUUUGUAGCAAUUGUGAAUGGGAGUUCAUUCAUGAUUCAUCUCUCUGCUUGCCUAUUGAUGGUGUAUAGGAAUGCUAGAGAUUUUGCACAUUGAUUUUGUAUCCUGAGGCUUUGCUGAAGUUGCUUCUCAGCUUAAGAAGCUUUUGGGCUGAGAAAAUGGGGUUUUUUUAGGUAUAGGAUCACGCCAUCUGUAAACAAAGAUAAUUUGACUUCCUCUCUUUCUAUUUACCCUUUAUUUCUUUAUCUUGUCUGAUUGCCCUGGCCAGAACUUCCAAUACUAUAUUGAAUAAGAGUGGUAAAAGAGGGCAUUCUUGUCUUCUACCACUUUAAAAGCCAUAUGGAACCAAAAAUGAGCCCAAAUAGCCAAGACAAUCCUAAACAAAAAGAACAAACCUGGAGGCACCAUACUACCCAACUUCGAACUAUGCUACAAGGUUAUAGUAACCAAAACAGCAUGAUACUGGUACAAAAACAGGCACAUAGACCAAAGGAAUGAAAAGAGAACUCAGAAAUAAGACUGCACACCUACAACCAUCUGAUCUUCAACAAACCUGACAAAAACAAGCAAUGGGAAAAGAACUCUUUAUUUAAUAAAUGAUACUGGGAGAACUGGUUAGCCAUACACAGAAAAUUGAAAUUGGACCCCUUCCUUACACCUUAUACAGAAAUUAACUCAAGAUGAAUUGAAGACUUAAAUGUUGAUAUGGUUUGGCUCUGGAUCCCCACCCAAAUCUCACCUUGAAUUGUAAUCUCCAUAAUCCCCACAUGUCAAGGGCAGGACAGGGUGGAGGUAAUUGGAUCAGGGUGGUGGUUUCCCCCAUGCUGUUCUCAUGAUAAUGAGUGAGUUCUCAUGAGAUCUGAUGGUUUUAUAAGGGGCUCUUUUCCCUUUGCUUAACACUUCUCCUUCCUUCCACCUUGUGAGGAAACUGCUUUGCUUCCCCUUUACCUUCUGCCAUGAUUGUAAGUUUCCUGAGGCUUUCCCAGCCAUGCUGAACUGUGAGUUAAUUAAACCUCUUUCAUUUCUAUUAAUAAAUACCCAGUCUCAGCAAUUCUAUAGUAAUAUGGAAACAGACUAAUACAAAUUUAAAACCCAAAACUAUAAAAACCCUAGAAGAAAAUCUAGGCAAUACCUUUCAGGCAAAGAUUUUGUUACGAAAAUGCAAAAAGCAAUUGCAACAAAAGCAAAAAUUGACAAAUGGGAUCUAAUUAAAUAAACGAAUUUUGCAGAGCAAAAGAAACUAUCAUCAGAGUGAACAAAGUACAGAAUUGGAGAAAAUUUUUACAAUCUAUCCAUCUGACAAAGGUAUAAUAUCCAGAGUCUACAAGGAACUUAAUCAAACUACAGGAAAAACACAAACAACCCCAUUAAAAAGUGGGCAAAGGAUAUGAACAGACACUUCUCAAAAGAAGACAUACAUGGAGGAGCAAACACGAAAAAAAGCUCAACAUCACUGAUCAUUAGAAAAAUGCAAAUCAGAACCACAAUGAGAUACUAUCUCACGCCAGUGAGAAUGGCGAUUAUUAAAAAGUCCAAAAAUAAUAGAUGCUGGCAAUGUUGUGGAGAAAAAGAAAUGCUUUUACACUGUUAGUGGGAGUGUAAAUUAGUUCAGCCAUUGUGGAAGACAGUGUGGCAAUUCCUCAAAGACUUAGAGGCAGAAAUACCAUUUGACCCAGCAAUCCCAUUACUGGGUAUACACCCAAAGGAAUAUAAAUCAUCCUAUUAUAAAGAUGCAUACACAGGCAUGCUCAUUGCAGCACUCUUUACAGCAGCAAAGACAGGGAAUCAACCUAAAAGCCCAUCAAUGAUAGACUGGAAAAAGAAAAUGUGGUACACAUACACCACAGAAUACUAUGCAGCCAUAAAAAGGAACAAGAUUUUGUUCUAUGCAGGGACAUGGAUGUAACUGGAAGCUGUUAUCCUCAGCAAACUAAUGCAAGAAAAGAAAACCAAACACUCCAUGUUCUCACUUAUAAGUGGGAGCUGAAUGAUGAGAACACAUGGAUAAAUCAGGGGGAACGACACACACUGGGGGCCAUUGGUGGUGGGAUUAGGGGGAGGGAGGGCAUCAGGAAAAAUAGGUCAUGGAUGCUGGGGUUGAUACCUACGUGAUAGGAUGAUCUGUGCAGCAAACCACCAUGGCUCACGUUUUACCUGUGUAACAAA
rnacentral:lncRNA from 1 species